AGUUUGAUCCUGGCUCAGGAUGAACGCUGGCGGCGUGCCUAAUACAUGCAAGUCGAACGCACAGCGAAAGGUGCUUGCACCUUUCAAGUGAGUGGCGAACGGGUGAGUAACACGUGGACAACCUGCCUCAAGGCUGGGGAUAACAUUUGGAAACAGAUGCUAAUACCGAAUAAAACUCAGUGUCGCAUGACACAAAGUUAAAAGGCGCUUUGGCGUCACCUAGAGAUGGAUCCGCGGUGCAUUAGUUAGUUGGUGGGGUAAAGGCCUACCAAGACAAUGAUGCAUAGCCGAGUUGAGAGACUGAUCGGCCACAUUGGGACUGAGACACGGCCCAAACUCCUACGGGAGGCUGCAGUAGGGAAUCUUCCACAAUGGGCGAAAGCCUGAUGGAGCAACGCCGCGUGUGUGAUGAAGGCUUUCGGGUCGUAAAGCACUGUUGUAUGGGAAGAACAGCUAGAAUAGGGAAUGAUUUUAGUUUGACGGUACCAUACCAGAAAGGGACGGCUAAAUACGUGCCAGCAGCCGCGGUAAUACGUAUGUCCCGAGCGUUAUCCGGAUUUAUUGGGCGUAAAGCGAGCGCAGACGGUUAAUUAAGUCUGAUGUGAAAGCCCGGAGCUCAACUCCGGAAUGGCAUUGGAAACUGGUUAACUUGAGUGCAGUAGAGGUAAGUGGAACUCCAUGUGUAGCGGUGGAAUGCGUAGAUAUAUGGAAGAACACCAGUGGCGAAGGCGGCUUACUGGACUGUAACUGACGUUGAGGCUCGAAAGUGUGGGUAGCAAACAGGAUUAGAUACCCUGGUAGUCC
rnacentral:rRNA from 2 species